GAGCCCAUGGCUCAAUGGUUAGAGCAUUGGACUUGUGAUCAAACGGUCGUGGGUUCG
rnacentral:tRNA from 1 species